UACAGAGGGUGCGAGCGUUGUCCGGAAUCAUUGGGCGUAAAGAGCGUGUAGGCGGCCCGGUAAGUCCGCUGUGAAAGUCGGGGGCUCAACCCUCGAAUGCCGGUGGAUACUGUCGGGCUAGAGUGCGGAAGAGGCGAGUGGAAUUCCUGGUGUAGCGGUGAAAUGCGCAGAUAUCAGGAGGAACACCGAUUGCGAAGGCAGCUCGCUGGGACGUCACUGACGCUGAGACGCGAAAGCGUGGGGAGCAAACAGG
rnacentral:rRNA from 1 species